GACGAACGCUGGCGGCGUGCUUAACACAUGCAAGUCGAACGGAAAGGCCCUGCUUUUGUGGGGUGCUCGAGUGGCGAACGGGUGAGUAACACGUGAGUAACAUGCCCUUGACUUUGGGAUAACUUCAGGAAACUGCGGCUAAUACCGGAUAGGAGCUCCUGCUGCACGGUGGGGGUUGGAAAGUGUCGGCGGUUGGGGAUGGACUCGCGGCUUAUCAGCUUGUUGGUGGGGUAGUGGCUUACCAAGGCUUUGACGGGUAGCCGGCCUGGGAGGGUGACCGGCCACAUUGCGACUACGAGACGGCCCAGACUCCUACGGGCGGCAGCAGUGGGGAAUAUUGCACAAUGGGCGGAAGCCUGAUGCAGCAGCGCCGCGUGCGGAAUAACGGCCUUCGGGUUGUAAACCGCUUUCGCCUGUGACGAGGCGUGCGUGACGGUAAUGGGUAAAGAAGCACCGGCUAACUACGUG
rnacentral:rRNA from 1 species